UGCUACAGCUUGAGAGGCACAGGACCAGAGUGUGCUCCAUAGUAUGGGAGCCUGUCUCCAUGGAGCCCCCUGGAGUAUAAAGUCCGUCGUACUAAAAAUUAAAAAUGGAAGAUAUAACACACUCAGGACUCUCCUUUUGGUUCUGGUACGACAAGCAGGACUGACUGCAUGCCCAGAAACAUGACUGAAAGCUUGUCUUCUAAGUAAUUCCAGGAUCCACCAACUUGACAACACUUCAAUCAUUGCAAGAGUCUACAAUCAUUUCAUCUCAAGGAGCUGGAGAGAUGGAUCAGUGGUUAAGAACAGCUCACAACUGACUCCACCUGUAGCCCCAGAAGAUCUUGUGUUCUCUUUUGGAUUCUGAGGACAUCUGCACUCAUACAGUCCCAUGCCCAAACACAAACACAUAAUCAAAAAUAAAUAAAAAAACUAAAUCUGUAACUAAAAUUUCAUUUCAGUUUAUAUGCUACAGUAAAAUAGUACAAUUAAAUGUUGAUUUCUUG